GGAGAUGUACCCAAGUGGUUGAAGGGUCCGCACUCGAAAUGCGGUAGGUCGGGAGAUCCCCGGCGCAAGAGUUCAAAUCUCUUCAUCUCCGCCA
rnacentral:tRNA from 1 species